rnacentral:rRNA from 1 species
UACGGAGGGUGCAAGCGUUAAUCGGAAUUACUGGGCGUAAAGCGCACGCAGGUGGCUGAGUCAGUCGAUUGUGAAAGCCCUGGGCUUAACCUGGGAAUUGCAGUCGAUACUACUCAGCUAGAGUAUGGGAGAGGGUAGUGGAAUUCCCGGUGUAGCGGUGAAAUGCGUAGAGAUGUGGAGGAACACCAGUGGCGAAGGCGGCUCUUUGGUCUGUAACUGACGCUGAGGCGCGAAAGCGUGGGGAGCGAACAGG